GCGCUCGCUUCAACAGCACCUUCACUACAGUUGGAAUAAUACAGAGAUUAGCUUGGCCUGUGCGCAGGGGUGACACACAGACGUCAUGUGGUUCAACCUGGCCUC
ensembl:snRNA U6 U6 spliceosomal RNA